rnacentral:rRNA from 1 species
GACGAACGCUGGCGGCAUGCCUAACACAUGCAAGUCGAACGGAGUAUAGCAAUAUACUUAGUGGCGGACGGGUGCGUAACACGUGAGCAACCUGCCUCAUUCUACGGGAUAACACAAAGAAAUUUGUGCUAAUACGGUAUAUGACCACACUGCCGCAUGGCAGAGGGGUAAAAGAAUUUUCGGAAUGAGAGGGGCUCGCGGCCCAUUAGCUAGUUGGUGAGAUAACAGCCCACCAAGGCAAUGAUGGGUAGCCGAUCUGAGAGGAUGAACGGCCACACUGGAACUGAGAAACGGUCCAGACUCCUACGGGAGGCAGCAGUGGGGAAUAUUGGGCAAUGGAGGCAACUCUGACCCAGCAAUGCCGCGUGAAUGAAGAAGGUCUUCGGAUUGUAAAGUUCUGUGAGAUGGGACGAAAAAAUGACGGUACCAUCAGAGGAAGCCCCGGCUAACUAUGUGCCAGCAGCCGCCGUAAAAC